ACCCACUAUAUACACUACCUAU
rnacentral:miRNA from 16 species